UACAGAGGUCUCAACCGUUGUUCGGAUUCAUUGGGCGUAAGGGGUGCGUAGGCGGUCUCGCAAGUCGGAUGUGAAAUCUUAGGGCUCAACCCUGAAACUGCAUUCGAUACUGCGUGGCUCGAGUACUGGAGAGGAGACUGGAAUUUACGGUGUAGCAGUGAAAUGCGUAGAUAUCGUAAGGAAGACCAGUGGCGAAGGCGAGUCUCUGGACAGUUACUGACGCUGAGGCACGAAGGCCAGGGGAGCAAACGGG
rnacentral:rRNA from 1 species